GAUGAACGCUAGCUACAGGCUUAACACAUGCAAGUCGAGGGGCAGCAUGGUCUUAGCUUGCUAAGGCCGAUGGCGACCGGCGCACGGGUGAGUAACACGUAUCCAACCUGCCGUCUACUCUUGGACAGCCUUCUGAAAGGAAGAUUAAUACAAGAUGGCAUCAUGAGUCCGCAUGUUCACAUGAUUAAAGGUAUUCCGGUAGACGAUGGGGAUGCGUUCCAUUAGAUAGUAGGCGGGGUAACGGCCCACCUAGUCUUCGAUGGAUAGGGGUUCUGAGAGGAAGGUCCCCCACAUUGGAACUGAGACACGGUACAAAGUCCUACGGCAGGCAGCAGUGAGGAAUAUUGGUCAAUGGGCGAGAGCCUGAACCAGCCAAGUAGCGUGAAGGACGACUGCCCUAUGGGUUGUAAACUUCUUUUAUAAAGGAAUAAAGUCGGGUAUGGAUACCCGUUUGCAUGUACUUUAGGAAUAAGGAUCGGCUAACUCCGU
rnacentral:rRNA from 1 species